GCAGCGGGUAGGGCCGGGGGUCAGCCGUCCCCUUUGCCCGAAACCGGCUAUAUGCGGGGGCCAGAUAAGGCAGGGUAAACUGAAUGUGUGCUGAUGCAUGCACUGCCCAGUGUAUGAUGAAGCGCCAGCUGGGGCUACCUUCGCACUAGUUUCGUUUGAAGGGACGUAAUAAGUGCAUAACUGUCGAACCGGGUCAGGCCCGGGAGGGAGCAGCCCUAAGGCAGGAAAGGGGCGCCUAGCCGCCUACGCUUCAGACAGCAAGCAGUGUUAUACACCAGCUCGCAUUUAGGUAAACCUGCCUGCCGCUGC
rnacentral:SRP_RNA from 1 species